GGAAGUAAAAGUGUAACAAGGUUUCCGCAGGUGAACCUGCGGAAGGAUCAUUACCGAGUGAGGGCCCUCCGGGUCCAACCUCCCACCCGUGUUUAUUUACCUUGUUGCUUCGGCGAGCCUGCCUUUUGGCUGCCGGGGGACGUCAGUCCCCGGGUCCGUGCUCGCCGGAGACACCUUAGAACUCUGUCUGAAGAUUGUAGUCUGAGAUUAAAUAUAAAUUAUUUAAAACUUUCAACAACGGAUCUCUUGGUUCCG
rnacentral:misc_RNA from 1 species